GACGAACCGUGCAAACGUUAUUCGGAAUCACUGGGCUUAAAGCGCGUGUAGGCGGUCCGGCACGUCCGUCGCUGAAAGCCCCCGGCUUAACCGGGGAAUGGGCGCGGAUACGACCGAGCUGGAGGGUGGUAGGGGGAGCCGGAACUUCCGGUGGAGCGGUGAAAUGCGUUGAGAUCGGAAGGAACGCCCGUGGCGAAAGCGGGCUCCUAGACCACACCUGACGCUGAGACGCGAAAGCGUGGGGAGCAAACAGG
rnacentral:rRNA from 1 species